rnacentral:tRNA from 4 species
GGAGAGGUUCCCGAGCGGCCAAAGGGAACAGACUGUAAAUCUGUCGUCAGACGACUUCGGAGGUUCGAAUCCUCCCCUCUCCACCA